ACAUGAGAGUUUGAUCCUGGCUCAGGAUGAACGCUGGCGGCGUGCUUAACACAUGCAAGUCGAACGGGGGUCAUCAGGCGGAAGUCUUCGGACGGAAGCUUUUUGACCCGAGUGGCGGACGGGUGAGUAACACGUGAGUAACCUGCCUUAUGCUGGGGAAUAACUGUGGGAAACCAUGGCUAAUACCGCAUGUUGUGUCUACAAGGCAUCUUGUGGGUAUGAAAGGAGCAAUCCGGCAGAAGAUGGGCGCGCGUCCGAUUAGGUAGUUGGUGGGGUAAAGGCCUACCAAGCCUGCGAUCGGUAGCCGGACUGAGAGGUCGAACGGCCACAUUGGGACUGAGACACGGCCCAGACUCCUACGGGAGG
rnacentral:rRNA from 1 species